UACGAAGGUGGCAAGCGUUACUCGGAAUUACUAGGCGUAAAGGGCAGGUAGGUGGUUUGGUAAGUCUGUUGUGAAAGCUCCUGGCUUAACUGGGAGAGGUCAACAGAUACUACCGGACUUGAGUAUGGGAGAGGGUACUGGAAUUCCCGGAGUAGCGGUGAAAUGCGCAGAUAUCGGGAGGAACACCAAUGGCGAAAGCAGGUACCUGGACCAUUACUGACACUCAGCUGCGAAAGCUAGGGGAGCAAACAGG
rnacentral:rRNA from 1 species